GUCUGGACGCGCUGGGUGGAUGCGGGGGGCUCCUGGGAACUGUGUUGGAGCCGAGCAAGCGCUAGCCAGGCGCAAGCGCGCACAGACUGUAGCCACCCGAGGACACCCCCGCCCCCCCGGCCCACCCGGAGACACCCGCGCAGAAUAGCCUCCGGAUCCCCUGAAGUCGGCGGGAGGUAAGAAGCAGGGCUUG
rnacentral:other from 1 species